UCAUCAACAACCUCAUCCACGAACAAUCAUACUUAGCAUGGACAUGUGCAGCAACAAUACUUUCUUUUGAGAUAACAGAUUACACAAAUAUUGGCCAUUUACUACUGUUUGAUAGUUUUGAUGUCUUGGAUGCUAAAGAGAACAACCUCACAUCUACGAUGAGCCAUUGCCUGAAUCAAUGGAGACUCUCAAGUUCUAAUGGCAAACAGAGUAUCCAAUGCCUGCCAGGUUCAGAUAAAUAAUUAACCCUUCAAAUACAGACAAUAUUGAAUGCUACCGUUUUGUCAUCCACCAGUCAAAUACAGUCAAACUUGACAAGCAAUAUGAUUUUUAGACGUCAACGGUGAAUGAGAGACCGCUGGAAUAGGAGAAAUAUAGCCGUCGCUGCUACAUGCAGAUAUUUUGCAGUUUGAUACAUCAAUAAUUGAGUUGAGCGCAUGACCAGGUGUUACAACUGAGCAGCUGAUGAAAGAGUUAACGACACAUGUACAGUUCCACAUCAGUGGACAUUUAACAGACGUCAGAGCAGCUAAGGUCCUGGACUGACAGGGCAAUCACUACAAUGGAACAGAUGAAAAACAGACCAUGCUGAAUGGAUCAGUUUAGAACUCUUUAAUAUGGGAAAGAAAAUUAAGAAAUUUGACACUGGAAACAGUGCUGCAACAUGGUUAGGCCUUCCAGUCAUAGAAUACUGUUGGUAUCAGUACCUGCCUAUCCUUGUAUGGGAGGCCUACCCAGGCCAGUGGUAAGGAGAAUCACAUGCUAUCUGCCAGACUCUUCCUACAGUGAGAGGAUCCCCAUGGGGACUCAACAUCAGUAUCAUUAAGGUUCCCUGGGAGAAGGACUGGAUCACAAAGAGGCUACAACAGGAUAUUAUCUCAGAAGAAAUACCUGUAGUAUGGUGUUCUCCACCAAAUGCUGAUGGUAUCUACUUUAGCCAACCAUAUGUGACUGAAAGAGCAACUGUUCAAUGCAUGGCUGUCAAAACCUAGAACACAUUGUCUGUUAUACUUAUAGUGAAUCGUCUGGUUGUGAAUUUCAUGACUAAACAUCUAUAUGUUAUCUUCUAUUCCCUUUGCCAGACCCCUGUACUUAAGGCUCCCAGAGACAGUCUCUUGGAAGCAAUGAUACACAAAAAGUGAUCAAAUCCAGAUAUUUUUUUUCUAUGAGAUGAUAUCAUCUAUAUGUUUGUGUACAUUUUGUACAACUUUCUACAGAAGCCAAUGUUCUGCCUCUUACAUAUAUAUCUCAUUUGUACAUUGUUUGUACUGCAUGUGUGGUAGGAGCUAUUCAAAAUAUUAUGGCUGAUUUGCCAAGCCAGGCCCAGUACCUAGGUAUGUGUAAAGUGUUUUCUGAUGCUCAGGAGCUUUUCCUACUAUCUUAUGUACAGAUCUACAGAUGCACACUGUGAACCAUUGAGAACAGAACCUUAUAUUGUCUCAACGACAAAAAGGCAAUUGGUGAAAACACACUGUCUACUCACUUUCGUGACAAGCUUGUAGAAGACUGAUCACUAAUGACGCAAAUCACAGCCAAAUGAAAACUUUAAAAUUGCUCCACCAUUGAUUAACAAUGUACAGUUUUCUUCUAAAGUACUGAGAGGAAUGUGUAGUUUACCACUGGUGAUAUAUACUAUGUAAAUGUGUUCAAUGAUAUGCUUGUAAAAUUUGAGAUUAUUUCAAUUGAUUUUUCUGUCUUUUACACCACAGAUGGACCUUCAUUGUACUGGAGAAUAUAUGAGUUCAUAUUAGCCAUUUGCAAAGUGUGUAUAUAAUGUCAGAAUCUGAUGUAUGAACAGAGCUUUGUGAUCAGGACAAGGUUAGAUUUUAGCAUAAACUUUGAUAUCUCUCUAUGUAAGUGUGAAAAUGUAAACUGACAAUCUCUUUUUCAAGACCUGCACUAAUGAGUAAAGUUACCACUUAAUCAUUAAAUCAUAAUUUGAUAAGAAA